rnacentral:rRNA from 1 species
UACGGAGGGUGCGAGCGUUGUUCGGAAUCACUGGGCGUAAAGCGCGUGUAGGCGGCCUUCUAAGUCUGAUGUGAAAGCCCGGGGCUUACCUCCGGAAGUGCAUUGGAAACUGGAAGGCUAGAGUACCGGAGAGGAGGGUGGAAUUCCUGGUGUAGCGGUGAAAUGCGUAGAUAUCAGGAGGAACACCGGUGGCGAAGGCGGCCCUCUGGACGGCUACUGACGCUGAGACGCGAAAGCGUGGGGAGCAAACAGG